AGCAAUGGGCAAUGGGCAAAGUGACACCUUGUUGGUGGUGGUGUUCUUGUAUCAGUCAGGGGCGAAGGAGAUGGCAGCCUUUGCUCUUCUUAGCUUGAUGCCUGGCUUGGUGGCCAAAGCUGUUUUAUACCUGGGACUCUUAA